GAUAUUGCACAAUGGAGGAAACUCUGAUGCAGCAACGCCGCGUGAGGGAAGAAGGUCUUCGGAUUGUAAACUUUAGUAGCCAGGGACGAAGAAAUGACGGUACCCGAAGAGUAAGCUCCGGCUAACUACGUGCCAGCAGCCGCGGUAAUACGUAGGGAGCGAGCGUUGGCCGGAAUUACUGGGUGUACAGGGUGCGUAGGCGGGACUGCAAGUCAGGCGUGAAAUACCGGAGCUUAACUCCGGGGCUGCGCUUGAAACUGUGGUUCUUGAGUGAAGUAGAGGUAGGCGGAAUUCCUAGUGUAGCGGUGAAAUGCGUAGAUAUUAGGAGGAACACCAGUGGCGAAGGCGGCCUACUGGGCUUUAACUGACGCUGAGGCACGAAAGCAUGGGGAGCAAACAGG
rnacentral:rRNA from 1 species